CCAAAGCUCAACAGAACAAAAUUAAUUACAGGAUAGCUUCCCCUCUCCUCCCCCACUUUGAAAAGGAAAGAAUUAGGUAGACAGGGGUAAAAGACCCACAGAAAAACAACCUGGCACCGAUUUUGGAAGCUAAAAAUAACUUUAAGAAUAAAUAAAGGGUAUUUAAGGUAAGGGAGUUCACAGCCAUAUAAGGGAAGGGAAACAGGUACAAAACUGGAGGGGUGACAAUGGAUGGAGGUAGGUUCAGGAGGUAGCUGGUCCACCAUGUGGCUGGUUGGCCAUGUGGCAAAGCUGGAGCAGAGAGGGUGUUGCUCAUCCAGCAAAGCAGAGAGGGCAACAGCAAGUUCAUCUGCUUUUACAGCCUUGCAGGCAGGAAAUGGGAGUGGGCUAAGCUUUUGCAACUGGCAUCAGAAACGAGCAGAAUCACAGAAUGUUGGGAGCUGGAAGAGACCUUGAGAGCUCAUGGAGUCCAACCCCCCUGCCAGAGCAGGAUCCCUCAGACCAGCUCACGCUGGACCACCAUAUCUGCCCAUUUUCCAUUCCACUCACCCUGUUUUCCCCCUUUUCCCCCCCAAACCCAGAGCACCUGGGCUUUAUUGGAAUCUCCUCCCACUCCAGGUGUGGCCACUUUGCCCUUCCUGCCCACUCCUCUUUGCAAUCAGCCCCAAGAAAGGCAGAAACUCCAAGCUUGCCCACCUGGGCUGAAGGAUCCUUCUCCUGUCAUCACUGGUCAUGGAGACAUUUCAACCAAUUUGAGGCAGCGAGCAGCAGUGUGGCUUUUGGAUGUUAAAACCUCAGUAUGUCUAUAAUGUUUUCCUUCAUGCCUCUGUUUCUCACUGACAGGGGCCCAUAAAAAUACCUGUACCUGGCAGAAGGGAAGAACACCACCCUCUGCAAGGAGAACUUGGAGUCAGCUGCUUGGAUGGUGCACCACAUGGAUUCAAAUCUGCACUUAUGCAUGGAUGUACGUGCAGGAAAGGGAAUCCUUCUGGGGAAGAGACAAGGUCAUCCAUCUUGUGUGUAAAGCCCUGAUUACCCCUGAACUUCUGGCCAGCAGGUCUUUUGGAGGAGUCUUUUCUUGAGAUGCUGAUGUUUUGCAGUGCCAGCAACUGAAAACGAGGCUCACGUGUGGAAUCUGCACACCACCUCUGCGCAGCACUAACAGAAAGCCCAUGAGUAUGUGAAGCCUUACCAACAGUGCUAUGUGUAUCUACACUUCCUCAGGAAGUGGCACUCAAGUUAUUUUUGCAAGUCAGUAUCAAAAUAAAGAUUGACUUUUCAUGAGCUUAGCUUUACUUUCGAAGAGCAGCUUUUGAGGGUGUAAAGCUAUUCAGUAGGAUCCCUUCAAACAGACAGCAAUGGCCUGAGCUACUCAAUUUUGCCUGUUAGCUCUAUAACUUCUCUACACAUAAGAAAAAAAUAUCAUGAAGUGAUCCUCUGUUUGUGUCUGACCCCACCUGGAGUACUGUGUGCAGUUCUGCAGCCCCCAACAAAAGAAGGACAUGGAACUGUUGGAGUGAGUCCAGAGGAGAUCACGAAGGUGUUCAGAGGGUUGCAGUAGCUCUGCUAUGAUGACAACUACCUGAGGGGUGGUUGUGGCCAGGAGGAGGUUGCUCUCUUCUCUCAGGUGGCCAGCACCAGAACAAGCGGACACAGCCUCAGGCUGCGCCAGGGGAAAUUUAAGCUUGAGGAAUGUAACUUUUCAAGCAUUCUUGUUUUCACAUCUUCACUUGGACCUCCUGUGCUUCAGUUGUAAUGCUACAAGCAGCAUUGCUAUUUCCACCAAACACUUUGGGAGCCAUAGGCAAAGAAAAUGUGACUGGAAAGGAUGAAGAGUGCCAAAUGGUCUGGUUCCAACAAUCCUGGUCCUUGGUAAAGGUACUGGAGCUUUAAAUUGCCAAAGCUGGUGAAGCUGGCAUAGAGAUCUGCCUGUUCUCUCCGCUGUGCCACAUCCCAUGGACUACCAGCAGAGCAGCAGCAGCCUCUCAUUUCUGAGCAACUGCAACGGAUAGCACUGCAGUCAGAAGGUUAGGAGCAAAACUGGCUAGCUGGAACACCACGGGAGUGUCACUAGAGUAAAAUAUUGAUUCACUCCCACUGUCUCCUUAUCCUUCCUUCCUUUCCAGACCAUGCCUACGAAUAACAAAUGGCUGGGAUUUCAGAGCAAAGAAUAACACUCACAUUUUCAGAGCAGCUAGAGGAAAGGGUUUUUUUUUCCAAAACGUGGUAGAUAAAAUGCUUGAUGAAUGUUGACCUUUACUGCACAAUCUAGAAAUUCAACAAGAAUGUUAUCUGCAGCUGGUGCAAAAAUGCAUCAAGAAGGGGCCUACCUUCUGCAGAGACGUGUCUGUUAUGCAAAAAGAAAGAGCUUAUGCUCAUCCUGCAAUGCAGUAAUAAGCCAGGCACAUAUUAAAACUGAAGAGACAGCAGGAAAGUUUACAAGUUUCCAUCCUGAACUUUGGAAAGCUGCUGCUGUAAGUAUCUACCCCAGAUGCAAGCUUGUCUCAAGAGUAUACACACUAACACAAGGUGUGAGUAAACUUUCUAAACAGAAUCCUCCAUUCGUUUUGGAGAGUGACAUCCUUGGAGGGAAGAAAGAAUUUAAUUAAAAACACAUACAGCAUUGCAAUUCAUAAACUUGCCCAAGCAAAACAAGUCCUAAAUCAAAUUGGGGUUAUUUAUUAACUCUUGCGAGAUGUGUGGCAAAUGUAUACCCUGACAUCCUGUGUGAUCCUGUGAUAACCCUUCCCCCCAAAAAACAACCCUAAUAAUAAUCUGGGAAAACAAAAGUUUAUAGCUAGAGAUGAAAGAAAUUUCCUGCUGAGUACAAAAUUAAUUGUUUAAAAAAAAAAAUAUGGAGUCUGGGACAUGCUAAAGUUCUUUGCAAACUCAGAUCAACUGCAGUGAGUAACUUUGGUUUCUGAGAUUGGAUUCAGUGAACUACUUUGCUUCGAAGGAGCAAUGAGUUCAGAAAUAAAAGUUUUGGUCUUUUUAAAACA